GACGAACGCUGGCGGCGUGCUUAACACAUGCAAGUCGAACGGAAAGGCCCUGCUUGCAGGGUGCUCGAGUGGCGAACGGGUGAGUAACACGUGGGUGAUCUGCCCCUUACUUUGGGAUAAGCCUGGGAAACUGGGUCUAAUACUGGAUAGGACCAUGCUGUAGGUGGUGUGGUGGAAAGAUUAGUUUCGGUAAGGGAUGAGCUCGCGGCCUAUCAGCUUGUUGGUGGGGUAAUGGCCUACCAAGGCGUCGACGGGUAGCCGGCCUGAGAGGGUGGACGGCCACAUUGGGACUGAGAUACGGCCCAGACUCCUACGGGAGGCAGCAGUGGGGAAUAUUGCACAAUGGGCGCAAGCCUGAUGCAGCGGCGCCGCGUGGGGGAUGACGGCCUUCGGGUUGUAAACUCCUUUCAGCCAUGACGAAGCCUUCGGGUGACGGUAGUGGUAGAAGAAGCACCGGCUAACUACGUG
rnacentral:rRNA from 1 species